GAAUGCCAGGGGAAGAGAAAUUAGACUAGCUCAUCGCCCACCAUUCCUGACCAGCUGCUGGCAGACACCGUUCCCAGGUGCAGCUUGAGGGCUUUAGGUGAGAAGGCUGGAAGAACUUUCAGAAGGAGUCAGGUCGCAGGCCUGGAGAGUGCAGCUCUUGCCCCUCCCCACUGCAGGAGGGUCAGCAAGGGGGGGCACAGGGAGACGGGGAGGCGUGCCCCGCCGGGCACCCUGCCAGGGCUCCCUCCUGGCAGUGCUGUCUGAUGCCCAGGCUGGAGUCGUCCCCUGGCAGACUCUCCCCCCAGUGCAUGCAAAUCCUGCUCCUCUCUCCGGGGCCAUGUCCCAUCUUUGGAAGGAAGGCCCUCGCCCCCUCUACUCUUGCUUUCCUCAUUCAUUCGUUUAUUCCCUUAACAGCUACCAUGUCCUAAGCCAGAUGGAUGCUAGGAUGCUGAGAACAAAGGACGCAGGCCUUGCCCUCAAGUGGCCCGCAGCCCAGUGAGAGGUAUCCCGAGUGGCUGGUGUCAAGGGCUGCUCUGAGGUGAGCUAGGUGCAGAGGGGACAGGGGGAAAAGGGUGUGUCUUGGCAGAGUGUUGCAGGGUAUCAUGGAAAGCUUCCUGGAGGAGAAGGCGAGCUUAACUCCUGGAAGAUACACAGGAUUCCUCCAAGCGCAGAAGGGGAGCCUCCAGGCGCUCCCAGCACUGCCCCCUGCUGGCUGUCCACACACCUGUGGCUCUCAGCCAGACCUGGGAGAUACGGGUUCCAAUCCUGACUCUUCUAUUUACCCUCAAGUUAGUCUACUUCCUGGACCUCAGUUUCCUUAUCUGUAAAAUGGGGAUCAGGGUCCCGCCGUGCGGAACUCCUUGUGAUCCAUCCUUGGCCCUCCAUCCUCGGCGGGAGACAAAGCCCCCUACCCCAGCACCCAGAACUGGCUGGUUAAACCUAAUAGGUGCCCGGUAGAUACUGACUGGUAGAUGGACCGACGACUUGGCGUUUUCUUGCUGAGCUUCCUUCCCGGGGAGCAACAAACCCCAACAGGGAGCACUAGCUUCCGCUCACCCAGGACUCUGGAAAUGUACUCCCACCCCGGAUCGCUGGCAUCUUGUACUGCUGCCUGCACACCUGACCAGAUGCGUGACGGCACAAGCUGUGUCCUGCCCUUGCCUGGGGCCCCACAGGAGCAUGACAAAUACUUUGUGAAGUUAAGUGCUCCAGUAACAAAGCUCCUCCCAGGGACCCAGGACUGGAGAGACAGGUGCCCACCAGAGACAGCCCGGAGCCCCAUCUAUGCCCGCGUCACCUGCAGGUCCUCAGACCCCUCCAUCAUCCCCGUCAAGCCAGCUCAAGACUUUUUGCUGAUGCCAGCCCUUCAAGUGCCUGAAUGUGGGACCUUCCUUCAUCCUGCCAUCCUGGACUUCAAACUCAGUAGGAAGGUGCCCAGGAUUUAAAAUAAAAAUUAUAAGCGCUAAGAAAGAGUGACCUUCAAACCCUCUCAUUGCUUGGGUCAUGCACUCUCUCAUAAGAAAUGCUUGCGCUCAUAGCUCCAUAUGAACUCAUAACUAUAUAUGUAUAGUUAUUUAUAGAUUUCAAGUUUCCGUGACUGUAUGAAUCUAUUACUUGCGUUAUAAAAUAUUCACAAAAGAGAGACAUUUUGAAAGGAUGAAAUGUAAGUACUAAGCAUAAAAGUCUCCUCCUCACCCUAGUGGAUUAUUCUGUGUUUGGAGCCCAAAGUCAGACCCCUUGGCCUCCCCAGCUAGGAUGGGGUCCCUGGCAGCUCCCCUACUUUGGCCCAUGCUCCAGCCUCAGACUCUGACCUUCUUCCUUCCCAAAGAUCCCCUCUGAACUCUGCCACCAUGAAGACCUGCUUUCCCUGACACCAGCCAUCCGGUCAGCAGCUGGGAAGCCAAACCCAAGGUGUCCUCUCCCCCCCAAAAAAACACGGGUGUCUCCUAUCCUCUGCAGGACUGCCAGGGGAAGAGAAAUGAGAUGAGUCUGUGGCACAGAGGACAGAAACAGGCCCACUGCGGACAAAAUAAAGGAUUGUUGUGCUAAGUGGCUUCAGCUGUGUCUGACUCUUUGCAACCCUAUGGACUGUAGCCUGCCAGGCUCCUCUGUCCAUGAGACUAUGCAGCCUGCCAGGCUCCUGUGGCCAUAGGAUUCUCCAGGGAAGAAUACUGGAGUGGGUUUCCACUGCGUUCUCCAAGGGAUCUUCCUAACCCAGGGAUCAAACACACGUCUCUUAUGUCUCCUGCAUUGGCAGGCGGGUUCUUUACCACUAGCACCACCUGGGAAGCCCAAAGAAGGAUUAGGUAGGGUUCCUUAUAAGACAAAAUUCCUGCAGCUGGGCACAGAGGGAGGCACUGUUCAGGACUAGACACCUGGGUCCAAUCUGGCUACAUGACUGAUGCAGAAGUUAGGGCUCAAGAACAGAUGCGCCAUUACUAGGAACACCUUUCCUAGACAAGGUAGGAUCCAUGCCCAGGGUGCCUGAUGUCUGUUCCCGUGUUCAGAGUCCAGUGGAGGCAGGGCAGCCUUUCUUGCCCCCACCUUACCCUGCGACCUUGCGAUUCCUCUGGGGUAGUUAGGGAGGCCCACCCAAGGUGCAUAACCCUGGAAUUGUGCAGCGGAAACCCUUUCCCCUUCUGCAGCGGAAGCUCUUGCCCCUGCAGAUAAGGCCGAAGGCCCGAUUCUUUCCGUCCCUGUGUGUUCCAUCCAGGUCUGCUCUCCAGAACCUGUGUGCCCUCCCUUCUCACACAGGCUCGGGCCCCAGUGCAGGCACAGGGGACCGGGAGGCAGAGGAGGUCAGAGGGGAAGGGCGCCCUUCGUGGAUGCUCUGCCCAGCAGAGGGCAAGCGGAGGAGCCUCAGCCACCCACCGUGCAGGACCCAGAGCCGCAGCCUAGGAGCCCAUGCCCCCCACAUCCUGGGGUCCUGUACCCCCAGACAGGGUCAGCAUCUGCAGAGCUGGUCCCAUCCCAGACGGCUCGCCAAGCCCAUGAAUGGCAUCUGACCCCUGUGUGCUCCCUGCUGGGUGGACUGAGGAGCCUGGGCAGAGGCCCUGGGAACAGCCGGGGCCCGGCCAGCUCGAAGCUGACCCCACGCCUCGGCCGGGGCUGAGUAACAGGAAGCGAGAGGCUGAUGCCGGUAAGAGAGCAGAUUCGAGAGAUUAGAGGUCUGCUGCCUGAUCAGAAGCUGCCUGGAGCUGGAGGACAAGUUACUGGAAGGAGGAGGAAGCUGCCGCAGUAAAUAAUGCCAGGCCCUCAACGCUGGCCUGACAUGGCUGAUGGGGCCCAGCUGGGGCCUGGGGCCAACAGGUGGGGCAGAAAGUGUAAGGGUCUGCUCUCAUUGCAGCCAGAGCUGGGGGGCCUGGGAAUGUGGGGUGCCCAGAGGGUUCCUUGGCCCCAGCUGCUGGAGCCUGAAAUUCAGAAGGUCUCCAAGGCUAUGUCCCCCGCUGUCCCCACAUCUCCUGCCCCUACUGCCUGCACACACCCAGCCCCCAGCCCAGGGGAGACCCUUGAAGUGGGGACCCAGCCCUGGGCUUGCUUGGCCCCCCCACAAUCCUC
ensembl:lincRNA